rnacentral:rRNA from 1 species
GGGAAUAUUGCACAAUGGGGGAAACCCUGAUGCAGCGACGCCGCGUGAGUGAAGAAGUAUCUCGGUACGUAAAGCUCUAUCAGCAGGGAAGAAAAUGACGGUACCUGAUUAAGAAGCCCCGGCUAACUACGUGCCAGCAGCCGCGGUAAUACGUAGGGGGCAAGCGUUAUCCGGAUUUACUGGGUGUAAAGGGAGCGUAGACGGCAGCGCAAGUCUGGAGUGAAAUGCCGGGGCCCAACCCCGGAACUGCUUUGGAAACUGUGCAGCUCGAGUGCAGGAGAGGUAAGCGGAAUUCCUAGUGUAGCGGUGAAAUGCGUAGAUAUUAGGAGGAACACCAGUGGCGAAGGCAGCUUACAAAUCUAUAUCGGACGCUGAGGCACGAAAGCGUGGGGAGCAAACAG